rnacentral:lncRNA from 13 species
CACCCACUUAGGACAAUUUUGGGGGGUUUUUUGUUGCCUGGAGCCUGUGGGGCUGGAGCAGGACUGGCGAGCUCCUUGCCCCCCCCAGGCUCGUCCAGCAGCAGAGGGUGCUCAUGCACUGCUGUGCAAAUCAUCCCUCUCCCUCAGCCAUCUUAGGGAAAUGUUUCCCUUCCCUGCAGUCUCCAUUUUAUGUUCCUGACGCAGAAAAUAAAAAGAUGCACUCAGGGCUUAGAGGCUGCUCUCUGGAAGGAAGGAUGAUAAUUGUGUCCUUGCUGAUUCAUUCGGCCCCGGCUGAGGAUCUUUCUGGAAGCAUCUCCUGUGCCCAGUGUCUGCUGAGAACUUGA